rnacentral:rRNA from 1 species
UCGGAAACCGGGAGACUUGAGUGCAGAAGAGGACAGUGGAACUCCAUGUGUAGCGGUGAAAUGCGUAGAUAUAUGGAAGAACACCAGUGGCGAAGGCGGCUGUCUGGUCUGUAACUGACGCUGAGGCUCGAAAGCAUGGGUAGCGAACAGGAUUAGAUACCCUGGUAGUCCAUGCCGUAAACGAUGAGUGCUAAGUGUUGGAGGGUUUCCGCCCUUCAGUGCUGCAGCUAACGCAUUAAGCACUCCGCCUGGGGAGUACGACCGCAAGGUUGAAACUCAAAGGAAUUGACGGGGGCCCGCACAAGCGG